CCUACGGGACGCAGCAGUGGGGAAUAUUGCACAAUGGGCGAAAGCCUGAUGCAGCAACGCCGCGUGAGCGAUGAAGGCCUUCGGGUCGUAAAGCUCUGUCCUCAAGGAAGAAAAUGACGGUACCUGACUAAGAAGCCCCGGCUAACUACGUGCCAGCAGCCGCGGUAAUACGUAGGGGGCAAGCGUUAUCCGGAUUUACUGGGUGUAAAGGGAGCGUAGGCGGUGCAGCAAGUCAGAAGUGAAAGCCCGGGGCUCAACUCCGGGACUGCUUUUGAAACUGUUGAACUAGAUUGCAGGAGAGGUAA
rnacentral:rRNA from 1 species